UUUCGGGUUAAAUUUUCGGUUCUUGCUGCUGCUUUAUGUUGCUGGAGAUUGCUGCUUCUACUGGCUAGUAGUCAGAAACUCUCUCCUUCAAAUUUAGACCUGUAUUUGGUCAUUUGGUUGGAUUUUUGCUGCAGAUAGUCUCCAGAGUCAAUUUCAAGUUCAAUCUGGACUUCAGAAGCAUCUGGUAUAAUAUCACAUAUCAUGAUUAUUUUCGUACAAUAUUUUUUUGGUACUCUUAAUGUGAAAAACAUACUGUAAGUAAUGAUUAUGUUAUGAUGUUGAGGACGGAAUUGACUGGGUCAGCAGGGGAAGCAGCCAUAGCGAGGCAAGUGGUAUUGCUUGAACUGCUACGGAUCAAGAAGUUGUCUUGCGGCAGCGUAUUUCCAUGCCCGCAAACAUCAGCGUUAUUGUUGGAUUUGUAAUGGGGACUGUGUAGCAAGUGUCGAAUCCGCCAAGGCUUGUCACUGUCGUUUUCCUUCCCAUUCUCCUCCUAAACUCGUUCCUCAUUGCUGUAUAAGCUGGCUCCACUAGCCUCGUGAAUACCGUCCAAUUGAAAAAAUUAAAAUAUGGAUGUUGUAGGAUGAUUUUCUGUUAAUAUAUGUCAAUGUAUUUUCAUGUAUUUCA